rnacentral:rRNA from 1 species
CCCUUAGAUGUCCUGGGCCGCACGCGUGCUACACUGACGCAUACAGCGAGUACUCCCGGCUCCGCAAUGGCAGCUGGUAAUCAUCAAUAUGCGUCGUGAUGGGGAUAGAUCUCUGGAAUUUUCGAUCUUGAACGAGGAAUGCCUAGUAAGCGCAGGUCAUCAGCCUGCGUUGGUUAAGUCCCUGCCCUUUGUACACACCGCCCGUCGCUCCUACCGAUUUCGAGUGGUCCGGUGAACCUUUCGGACCGGGAGCAGCCUCGUGCUGCGCCUGGAAAGUCAAGUAAACCACAUCACUUAGAGGAAGGAGAAGUCGUAACA